AACACAGGAACCCACGUGGGUUUUGAAAAAGUAAACUGUGGAGGCAAUUUCUCCCCCAUGGCAACAUGGUUUAAGCAUGUAUUUUUGUCAUAAACCAUUCUCAAAAUAUCUACUUUACUUUUAAUUUUGAAAUUAAUGAGGCGAAUAUAUAUUUGGACAUAGUUACUCAUGUAUUCAGUUCGUCUUGAUAUGAUUUGAAUGGUAAAGUGCUCUCAAUUAUCAAUACAUAUAAAACUUUGUUUCAUUAAUAAUACAACCAUGACCCAGAUCAUCUUAACUGUUGUAAAAAACAAUAUGUCUGUAUCACAUCCAUACAGUCAAGUUCGCUUUGCCGUGAGGUUAUCAGAAUUUAAGUAGUCUUGCUUUUCUCAGUGUAUUUUCUCUACAGCGAAUGCAACGGGUUGUUUCAAAUAAUAUACACCGUUGAAACGCUCUACUGGAGUGAGAAGGAAGAUGUUGAAUGCGGUGAUGCUGUGAAGCUUUGCGAGGAUGUGACGACGCGAAACGUUGAACACUGAGCUCAAAAGCUCCCACACACUCCCACGCAACAUUCGACCCAAAUUUCCGCCAUUUCUGUGCCGCGCCUAAUCCACAGUUGUCUCUUGUGUCCGUUUCACUGUACGAGGUUCA
rnacentral:lncRNA from 1 species